UACGUAGGGUGCAAGCGUUAAUCGGAAUUACUGGGCGUAAAGCGUGCGCAGGCGGUUGUGCAAGACAGAUGUGAAAUCCCCGGGCUUAACCUGGGAACUGCAUUGGUGACUGCAAGGCUAGAGUGUGUCAGAGGGGGGUGGAAUUCCACGUGUAGCAGUGAAAUGCGUAGAGAUGUGGAGGAACACCGAUGGCGAAGGCAGCCCCCUGGGAUAACACUGACGCUCAUGCACGAAAGCGUGGGGAGCAAACAGG
rnacentral:rRNA from 1 species